rnacentral:misc_RNA from 1 species
UUUAGUAUAAAAUUGCAUAUUUAUGUUUCAAAAUUGCAGGAUAUGUAGUGAUAAAAUUUCACUUUUGCAUGAUAUAUUCAAUCAUCUCAGUGUGAGAGAGAGAGAUGACUUUUUUUGAACAAAUUGCACUCGUUUGCAUAUAUUAGAAGGGGCUCAUGAAAGCUUGAAUGCAAUUCCUAAAAUGCUGAAUAAAAGUAUAACUGAUUCUUAGCGCUAGGGUGGAUGUGCAAAUUUGGAGCCCUACUUUGAAAGAAUACAAGGAAUGGGCAGAAUAGAUAUGGACAGAAGUUUCACAACCUAGUGGCUUGAGUUAUGGUUUGAAGGUGGUUUUCACACGUAUAUUGACCUUCUUUCUUUAGGUUCCCUUUGAUUUACAGGGAUUGCUAUUAGAGCUUCACUUGGCAUGCAAAUAAGUGGUAUUAAAGCCCAAUAAUUUGUUUGGAGUUAGGACAAGUGAUGGCAUGUUGUGGGAUAUGAUCAUGUAACAAGCUGUGGCACUAAUGUUAAUGACUGGUGAAUAAUGAUGCCCCAAAUGACUCUUUUGGAACUUGGAGAAUAGCCUAGCAGGGUGGUGGAGUUCAAUCGCAUCAGGCAUAUUGCAGGGGGAGUGUGUGCACAUGAGAGGCAACAUGUGUCACAACCUAGGUUGUCAAGCAUAUUUCACAACCUAUAAGAGAAAGUUGGCUUGUUAUGUGAGUUUCUAUAAUGGAUCAGUGAAUCUUGGUAAUUGGUUUGGCAAGUCUUCCUGGUUGUAAAGAUUGCUAUGAGAGCUUCAUUUGCCAUCCAUAGUUAUUUCAAUUCUUUACUUUAUAUUGAAGUACUUGUGUGUCUUAUAUGAAUUCUUGGAUAUGGGUAAUAACACAGACAUUUUCAAGACAUCUUUGAAUCUGUGGAAGAGUCUAUAUGAAAAAUUCAAAAAAUAGUUGAGAUGAACUGGGAUGCAUGUCAUAAGAAUAUGACUAAGUUUUAUAUUGGUUGCAUCUAGUACAGCUGCCCUCAUUUGAGCUUAGGACCAGCCUAAGUAAAAAUCUUUAAUGUAGCUUUAAAAUGAGCACAAUGAAGGGAAAAGGUACGUAUAAUUGAUCCUGACUAGAUUGGAAUUUAGACUGAGCAGAGUUGUAGCCAAG